rnacentral:snRNA from 1 species
GAUGCCUUGAACUUCACACGCACAAGCUGCAUACUGGGUGGAAGAGGAUGCCCUUCCCUGGUAGAGGAGGAACAUACUGCGAUCAGAGGUGUAUGAGUAGCUGCACUCCCUGCCUAGAGCCUCUAAACAAGCUUACAUUUUCACAAUUAGCCCUUAGUUUCUACAGAUCCCUGGAACAGUUUCCACAAGUUUCAUUCUUCCUUGUAUGUGAGAUUUACGA